rnacentral:misc_RNA from 1 species
UCCGAGUUAACCUCGGCAGUCUCGCUAUAGUUCCCACCAUUACGUGCUGGUAAAUAACGAUAAGGGUUGCGCUCGUUGCUGGACUUAACCAAACACCUCACGGCACGAGCUGACGACAGCCAUGCAGCACCUAUAUAGAAGUCCUUGCGGACAAUUUAAUCUCUUAAAUCUUCCUCUACAUUUCGAGCCCAGGUAAGGUUCUUCGCGUUGCAUCGAAUUAAACCACAUGCUCCACUGCUUGUGCGGGCCCCCGUCAAUUCUUUUGAGUUUCACCCUUGCGAGCGUACUCCCCAGGCGGUAUACUUAUCGCGUUAGCUCCGAGACAGAAGGGGUUGAAGCCUCCUACCUCUAGUAUACAUCGUUUACGGCAUGGACUAC